UGGCCCUCCUUACCACAGUGAUAGUAAGUACCUUUGGUAAAGAUCUUCUUCAUCUUUUUCUUAGAGAUGCCAGCCUUUGGGUUCAUCUUUUUCUUGGAACCCUUCUUUGUCUUCUUUUUAUUGAUCUUAUCGACAAGAAGAAUCAGAGCCUUUUCGCCCUUGAAAUGGCUCUCUGCUGUUUUCAACAUAUUGAGUAGCUCUAGCAGGCUAGUGUUCAGUUUGU
rnacentral:lncRNA from 1 species